rnacentral:rRNA from 1 species
GAUCAAGCUACUAAGGGUGCAUGGUGGAUGUCUUGGUACCAAAAGCUGAUGAAGGACGUGGCGGGCUGCGAUAAGCUUCGGGGAGCUGCCAAACGAGCUUUGAUCCGGAGAAUUCCGAAUUGGGAAACCUGUCGUAAGAAACACUUGUGUUUCUUUUGGUUCAUACCGCGACAUUAUUAUCUGAAUAAAUAGGGUAAUAAGAGGAACGAAGGGAACUGAAACAUCUAAGUACCUUCAGGAAAAGAAAGAAAAAUCGAUUUCCCCAGUAGCGGCGAGCGAAAAGGAAAGAGCCUAAACUGGCUAUAUGUAAUAACCCUUAUGUGUUGUAUGGUCAGGGUCGAGGGAGUUGCGAGGAGCGAGAUAAGGCUUGCUUAAAAAAACUGUUAUUUCUAGCUGAAUAAGCAGGAAAGCUUGACUAUAAAGGGUGAUAGUCCCGUAAGUGAAAGGAAUAAAAGUUUUUACUGUAAUUUCCCGAGUAAUGCCGGUCACGUGGAAACCGGCAUGAAUUAAGGAGGACCACCUCCUAAGGCUAAAUACUUUUGGUAACCGAUAGUGAACAAGUAGCGUGAGUGAACGAUGAAAAGAACCCCUUUUAGGGGAGUGAAAUAGAACCUGAAACCAUGUACUUACAAGCGGUGGAAGCACAAUAUUAAUUGAAAUUUAUUUCUUUUAAUUCGUGUAACUGCGUGCCUUUUGUAUAAUGAACCGGCGAGUUGUUGUUUGUUGCAGGUUAAGCCUAUAAUGGGUGAAGCCAAAGCGAAAGCGAGUGCUAACUGCGCGAAUAAAUGUAGCAGAUAGCAGACCCGAAACCGAGUGAUCUACCCUUGGUCAGGAUGAAGUUCCGGUAAAACGGAAUGGAGGUCCGAACGCAUUUACGUUGAAAAGUGAUGCGAUGAACUGAGGGGAGGAGUAAAAGUCUAAUCAAACUCGGAGAUAGCUGGUUCUCCCCGAAAUAGCUUUAGGGCUAGCCUUAUGCAAUCGUGUAGUAGGGGUAGAGAUACUGAUUGAGUAUUGGGGCCCACCAGGCUACCGAGCACAAUCAAACUCCGAAUACUACUGCAUUUGACAUAGGAGUCAGACUAUGGGGGAUAAGCUCCGUAGUCGAGAGGGAAACAGCCCAGACCAUUAGUUAAGGUCCCUAAAAUGAGCUAAGUGAAAAAGGAAGUGAAAGUGCUAAGACAGCUAGGAUGUUGGCUUAGAAGCAGCAAUCAUUUAAAAAGUGCGUAAUAGCUUACUAGCCGAGUACUUUUGUGCCGAAAAUUAGCGGGACUAAAGCUCAUUACCGAAACUAUGGAUCCUAAUCUUUUAGGAUGGUAGGGGAGCGUUCUAUGAUAGGUUGAAGCCUCACAGAAAUGAGAGGUGGACGAAAUAGAAGUGAGAAUGCCGGUAUAAGUAGCGAUAAUAUAAGUGAGAAUCUUAUUCGCCGAAAGCCUAAGGUUUCCUGGGGAAGGCAAAUCCGCCCAGGGUUAGCCGGUACCUAAGUCGAGGUCGAAAGGCGUAGACGAUGGACAACAGGUUAAUAUUCCUGUGCUGCUAUUUAACGUUUGAGCUUGGGAGGACGUGGACACAACGAUUAGCAAACCCAGUAGACAUGGUUUGUUCAAGCUGGAGGCACCGCUCUAGGAAAAUCCGGAGCAAUAAGGUGUCGAAAGCGAGUACGUUGGCUCUUGGCCUAGAAGUAAUCUGAGUGUCUUCCAAGAAAAGUCUCGUUAGCGAGUUAACAUGGCAACCGUACUAAAACUGACACAGGUAGGCAAGGAGAGAAUCCUAAGGCGCUCGAGAGAACCCUCGUUAAGGAAUUCGGCAAACAUACUCCGUAACUUCGGGAUAAGGAGUGCCUUUUUAACUUCGGUUAAAAAGGUCGCAGUGAAAAAGGUCCGGGCGACUGUUUACUAAAAACACAGGUCUCUGCUAAAAUGUAUAAUUGAUGUAUAGAGACUGACGCGUGCUCGAUGCCAGAAAGUUAAGGGGAUAGGUUAUUUCCUGAGCAAUCAGGAGAGAAGCUUGGAACUGAAGCUCUGGUGAAUGGCGGCUCUAACUAUGAGAGUCCUAAGGUAGCGAAGUUCCUUGUCGGGUAAUUUCCGACGCGCAUGAAUCGCGUAACGACCUGGACACUGUCUCAACGAGGGACUCGGCGAAAUUGUAGUUGUGGUGAAGAUGCCACAUACCCGCGGAAAGACGGAAAGACCCCGUGAACCUUUACUGUAGCUUAUUAUUGGAUUUUGGCGCAGUAUGUGUAGGAUAGGUGGGAGACGAGGAAGUUUCGACGUAAGUUGGAAUGGAGUCAAUGGUGAAAUACCACUCUUACUUUGUUAAAAUUCUAAAGGAAUACCGUGAAUCCGGGUUCUUGACAGUGGUAAGUGGGCAGUUUGACUGGGGCGGUCUCCUCCAAAAAAGUAACGGAGGAGUCCAAAGGCUCCCUCAAUGCGGUUGGCAACCGCAUGUAGAGUGUAAAGGCAUAAGGGAGCUUAACUGCGAGACCCAUAAGUCGAGCAGGUGUGAAAGCAGGGCUUAGUGAUCCGGCGGUUUCUGAGUGGAAAGGCCGUCGCUCAACAGAUAAAAGGUACUCCGGGGAUAACAGGCUGAUCUCCUCCGAGCGUUCAUAGCGGCGAGGAGGUUUGGCACCUCGAUGUCGGCUCAUCGCAUCCUGGGGCUGAAGAAGGUCCCAAGGGUUUGGGAGUUCACCAAUUAAAGCGGUACGCGAGCUGGGUUUAGACCGUCGUGAGACAGGUCGGCCUCUAUCUGAUAGAAGCGAUGGCCGUCUGAGGGGAAGUUGUCCUCAGUACGAGAGGAACAGGGCAACGUAGCCUCUGGCGUACCGGUUGUCUGAUAAGGCAGUUGCCGGGCAGCUAAGCUAUUGAGGAUAAGAGCUGAAAGCAUCUAAGCUCGAAGCCUCUCCUGAGAAUAGACCGCCUUCCACAUUUCUACUUCUUUCGGGAAGUAGGUGUGGACAAGAGCUGGGAAAGAAGAUCCCGUUGAUGGGGCAGAGGUGUAAUCUGAAAGGCUUCGGCCGAUCAGUUCAGCCUGCUGCUCCCAAUCGCUCAAGGUGUCAGAAAUA